rnacentral:misc_RNA from 1 species
GAUGAAGAACGUAGCGAAAUGCGAUAAGUAAUGUGAAUUGCAGAAUUCAGUGAAUCAUCGAAUCUUUGAACGCACCUUGCGCCCUUUGGACUUCUGGAGGGCAUGCCUGUUUGAGUAUCAUGAACACCUCAACUCCUUAUGGUCUUCCAUGAUGAGCUUGGACUUUGGGGGUUUUGCUGGCCUACAGUCAGCUCCUCUAAAAUAAAUCAGCUUACCGGUGUUUGGUGGGUAUCAUGGGUGUGAUAACUAUCUACGCUCGUGGUUUUCCACCAGGUAACCUUCAGCAGUGGAGGUUCACUGGAGCUCAUAGAUGUCUCUCCUCAGCGAGGACAGCCCUUUGAAUGUUUGAUCUCAAAUCAGGUAGGACUACCCGCUGAACUUAAGCAUAUCAAUAAGCGGAGGA